CUGACCUUUCUGAAGGUCGUGCACGCCGGAGCGUUCUCACACACAAUCCACCUCACCACUUGUGCUUCACCGCGCGGGGUCGCUCCCUCUUGGCUCGCUUCGAGAGGGGGAGGCUUGCGUCUUUUUCACACACACACACAAUAUACAGUCUGGNAGUUUAGAAUGUCAAUCAAUACAACUUUCAACAAUGGAUCUCUUGGCUCUCGCAUCGAUGAAGAACGCAGCGAAAUGCGAUACGUAAUGUGAAUUGCAGAAUUCAGUGAAUCAUCGAAUCUUUGAACGCACCUUGCGCCCCUUGGUAUUCCGAGGGGUACACCCGUUUGAGUGUCGUGAAUUUCUCAAACCUUCUUGGUUUCUUGAUCAAGAAGGCUUUGGACUUUGGAGGUCUUUGCCGGCUUUGCGAAAAGUCGGCUCCUCUUAAAUGCAUUAGUGGGGUCCCCUUUGCCGAUCUCUAGGCGUUGAUAAUACGUUUCUACGUCUUGGGAUUUGCUCUGUUCCUUGGGAAUCCGCUUCUAACCGUCUCAU
rnacentral:rRNA from 1 species